rnacentral:rRNA from 1 species
CCCUUAGAUGUUCUGGGCUGCACGCGCGCUACACUGAUGCGCUCAACGAGUUUUAACCUUGCCUGGAAAGGUUGGGUAAUCUUUUUAAAACGCAUCGUGAUGGGGAUAGAUUAUUGCAAUUAUUAAUCUUCAACGAGGAAUUCCUAGUAAGCGCAAGUCAUCAGCUUGCGUUGAUUACGUCCCUGCCCUUUGUACACACCGCCCGUCGCUCCUACCGAUUGAAUGGUCCGGUGAAGCGUUCGGACCGUGGCCUUUGGACGGUUCGCCGUCUGUUGGCUGCGGGAAGUUCGUUAAACCUUAUCAUUUAGAGGAAGGAGAAGUCGUAACA